CUACGGGCGGCUGCAGUAAGGAAUAUUGCGCAAUGGAGGCAACUCUGACGCAGCCAUGCCGCGUGCAGGAAGAAGGCCUUAUGGGUCGUAAACUGCUUUUAUUUAGGAAUAAACCCCCGAACGUGUUCGGGGCUGAAGGUACUAAACGAAUAAGCACCGGCUAACUCCGUGCCAGCAGCCGCGGUAAUACGGAGGGUGCAAGCGUUAUCCGGAUUUAUUGGGUUUAAAGGGUGCGCAGGCGGGCUAUUAAGUCAGUGGCGAAAUCCCGGGGCUCAACUCCGGAACUGCCAUUGAUACUGAUAGUCUUGAGUUUGGUUGAAGUGGGCGGAAUGUAGCAUGUAGCGGUGACAUGCAUAGAUAUGCUACAGAACACCAAUCGCGAAGGCAGCUCACUAAGCCAAAACUGACGCUCAUGCACGAAAGCGUGGGGAUCAAACAGGAUUAGAUACCCUAGUAGUC
rnacentral:rRNA from 1 species